rnacentral:rRNA from 1 species
UCUUUCUGUGCACAACAGCAUUUUUAUCAAUGCCAGCAGCUCUUGCCUGCUUGCCCACUGAAGCUAAGCAGGGUUGAGUCUGGCCAGUACCUGGAUGGGAGACCUCCUGAGAAAACCAUGU